AACGAACGCUGGCGGCAGGCUUAACACAUGCAAGUCGAGCGCCCCGCAAGGGGAGCGGCAGACGGGUGAGUAACGCGUGGGAAUCUACCCAUCUCUACGGAAUAACGCAUGGAAACGUGUGCUAAUACCGUAUACGUCCUUCGGGAGAACGAUUUAUCGGAGAUGGAUGAGCCCGCGUUGGAUUAGCUAGUUGGGGGGGUAAAGGCCUACCAAGGCGACGAUCCAUAGCUGGUCUGAGAGGAUGAUCAGCCACACUGGGACUGAGACACGGCCCAGACUCCUACGGGAGGCAGCAGUGGGGAAUAUUGGACAAUGGGCGCAAGCCUGAUCCAGCCAUGCCGCGUGAGUGAUGAAGGCCCUAGGGUUGUAAAGCUCUUUCACCGGUGAAGAUAAUGACGGUAACCGGAGAAGAAGCCCCGGCUAACUUCGUGCCAGCCGCCGCUGUAAGAC
rnacentral:rRNA from 1 species